AUCUGGCCUAGAGGCUUUGCAGGUAUGGCUGCUGUGUCACAUGUGCCUCAGUAGGAGGAAGAGAAGACAGAGACUAUAUCUACAUUCAGUGUUCUGAUCUGUGAACACAUUAAUCAUUAGAAGCUUAACAUU